GACGGGUGAGUAAUGCUGGUUAUCUGCCUGGUAGUGGGGGAUAACUUGCCGAAAGGUAAGCUAAUACCGCGUACGCCCUACGGGGGAAAGCAGGGAUCUUCGGACCUUGCGCUAUCAGAUGAGCCCAAGCCGGAUUAGCUUGUUGGUGAGGUAAAGGCUCACCAAGGCGACGAUCCGUAGCUGGUCUGAGAGGAUGAUCAGCCACACCGGGACUGAGACACGGCCCGGACUCCUACGGGAGGCAGCAGUGGGGAAUAUUGGACAAUGGGGGAAACCCUGAUCCAGCCAUGCCGCGUGUGUGAAGAAGGUCUUCGGAUUGUAAAGCACUUUAAGUUGGGAGGAAGAGCUCCGGGCUAAUACCCUGCGAGUUUUGACGUUACCAACAGAAUAAGCACCGGCUAACUUCGUGCCAGCAGCCGCGGUAAUACGAAGGGUGCGAGCGUUAAUCGGAAUUACUGGGCGUAAAGCGCGCGUAGGUGGUUUGUUAAGUUGGAAGUGAAAGCCCCGGGCUCAACCUGGGAAUUGCUUUCAUAACUGCUGGGCUAGAGUACGGUAGAGGGUAGUGGAAUUUCCUGUGUAGCGGUGAAAUGCGUAGAUAUAGGAAGGAACACCAGUGGCGAAGGCGACUACCUGGACUGGUACUGACACUGAGGUGCGAAAGCGUGGGGAGCAAACAGGAUUAGAUACCCUGGUAGUCCACGCCGUAAACGAUGUCAACUAGCCGUUGGAGUCCUUGAGACUUUAGUGGCGCAGCUAACGCACUAAGUUGACCGCCUGGGGAGUACGGUCGCAAGAUUAAACUCAAAUGAUUGACGGGGCCCGCACAA
rnacentral:rRNA from 1 species